AGCAAUAGCCGUCAUUUCAACGUCUGGGUUAAAUAUAGACCAGAUAUAGUCCGGCUAUGUGUAACCCACUUUUAGCCCAAAUAACAUUUAAUCUGGAUAAAUGUAUUUUUUUUUGCAAAAUAACUUGUGAGAUGUAUGAUAUUCCAUCAUGUACGCAGAGUCUAACGUGAUUACAAGUUGUUUGGUUUACUUUAUUUUACAUGUUAUAUGUGUAGGCUGUGCGUAGCCACGAUUUAGCUCGUAUUCAGACCCGGCUAUUGUAGCCCACUUUUUGUCAAAACUGAUUAAUUGUAUUUUUUUGCCAGGCAGUGCAUGAAAUGGUUAAUAUUCAAUCAUGUUCGCAUUGGUAUGAUAUCAAGGUUCAAUACGUCAUUUCACGGCAUGGUAGAUCACGAUUUAGCUCCGAAUUGGACGGGCUAUAUGCGGUCUGCUUUAGCCCACCUGGCGAAAUUAUUGCAAUCUGGGCUCAGAUAUAGACCAGCGACCUAGAAUAUUAGUCUUUGAAAUGUUUUCACUUACACAGCUUAAUAUAUAUUUUCUGUCAAACAUUCAUACACAAUCUACGAUAAAAAUAUCUAAUCAAAUGCAAUUGCAUUUCCCAACCGCUAGAUGGCACAAUUGAAACACUACUGAGACAUGUCUACUGGAACUAAUGCCAUUGCGUGACUAGAUCACUUAAGCCAAAUCUCGCGAUAAACAUUUCCGCCAUUUUAUUUUACACGAGGCAGCUGUCGGAGUGCAACGGGUGAGCAACAGUCUGAGUGAAAACCUUCACAUUUCUACUUCGAUCUUAAGAAAGCCAUACAGGUUUGGAACCAAGUGAAAACGCAGUGAUGACCAGCUUUCCAUCAGCUAUGGAAUGUGAAAUAAAAAAUGCUAUUUCUAAUCAUUUCAAACAAGCACCAGGGAGGGCAGGGGGUGGGGGUUAUGGAUCUAAAGUAAACAGUUAAUUCUUAAAAAUUAAUUGUUUUACAUAUUUUUCCAAUGUUUUAUUUGUUCAUUUUUAUGUUUGAAUGUUGUCCAAGUUGUUGUUGUCUAUAUAAUUGUUCAAAAUAAAUCCCUUUAUAUUCAAUUAGUUUGGAUGGAUUUUAAUUUAUGAGAACCUGUUAUAUUUGAGUGAAAAGAAUCCUUAUGCCUCAUUUUGUUGUCUAUUACAUGUAUAUGUAGUGUAAUGGAUGACUAGUCUAUUCUUGGGCUAUGGUUAGACGUCUAUUAGAUUUUCACUGACAGCCCAAAAUCAGCCUUGUUUUAGCCUAGACCCAUAUUGCCUGUCUAUUAGACGUAUGUAGUUGUUUAGCGGUCUAAUUGAUGACUAGUCUAUUCUUGGGCUAUGUUUAGACGUCUAUUGGACGUAUAAAUAUAGUCGUUCAAUAGCUGUCUGAUUGUCUAUUCUUGGGCUAUGGUUAGACAUCUAUUAGACGUAUAUAUGUAGUCAUUUAAUAGCUGUCUAUUCUUGGGGUAUGUUUAGACGUCUAUUAGAUUUUCACUGACAGCCCAAAAUUAGCCUCGAUUUAGCCUAGACGUCUCGGCUGUGUUUAGACGGCUAUUAGACGUCUAUUAGACGCAAAAUUGCUU